CAGUCGCCACGGUAACACAGAGGGUGCAAGCGUUAACCGGAAUUACUGGGCGUAAAGCGCGCGUAGGUGGUUUGUUAAGUUGGAUGUGAAAUCCCCGGGCUCAACCUGGGGACUGCAUCCAAAACUGGCAGGCUAGAGUAGGGCAGAGGGUGGUGGAAUUUCCUGUGUAGCGGUGAAAUGCGUAGAGAUGUGGAGGAACACCAGUGGCGAAGGCGACUCUCUGGUCUGUAACUGACGCUGAGGAGCGAAAGCGUGGGGAGCAAACAGGAUUAGAUACCCCAGUAGUCCCUGUCUCUUAUAC
rnacentral:rRNA from 1 species